rnacentral:rRNA from 1 species
UACGAAGGGAGCUAGCGUUGUUCGGAAUUACUGGGCGUAAAGGGCGCGUAGGCGGACACUUAAGUCAGGGGUGAAAUCCCAGGGCUCAACCCUGGAAUUGCCUUUGAUACUGGAUGUCUGGAGUUCGGGAGAGGUGAGUGGAAUUCCGAGUGUAGAGGUGAAAUUCGUAGAUAUCAGGAGGAACACCGAUGGCGAAGGCAGGUCUCUGGGCCACUACUGACGCUGAGAAGCGAAAGCAUGGGGAGCGAACAGG